UAAAAGACCAUUAAACAAAAACUAUAUUUAUUUAAUUUUUUACAUUUCGGAAUUCAACAAUUAUGCAGGAACCAAAUGAUCGUAGUAAUAUUCUUUAUUAAUAAAAAAUUCAACAUGUUUUUCAAUUUUUUGACAUAGAAUUCGUAAUAUUUAAGUGUGUCAGAAUUUGAUGAUAAUAAUAAUAAUUACAAUAUUUUCUUUUAAUGUCAAUGUAUUUUCGAAAUCAAGUGAAGCAAAGUUAUAAUUUUUUUUUAUUGCAUGAAAUGGACAUUUUAUUACAUUAAUACCAUCAGAUUAUUUAGACUUUGAAAUUUGUUUUGAAAUUAAUAAACCAGAUGGCUUCACCUUUUUAUUAAAUUUACAUUCAAAAUAUUUUAUAGCAUUUUGUUUCUUAUAAACAAAUAUUUAUUGUAACCCUACAGCAAAUAAACUGAAAUUAUGAAACGUAAAUAAUUUUUGAUUUUUUUUAAAUUAUCUUAUUUGGAAAUCAAUUUUCCAUAUGCACAAUUUGUUUACAGCACGAGCGCAAGGAGUGCUGCAUGAGUUGCGAAAUUAAUAAACACAGUUUUAUAACAAUGGUAAUGUAAUACCGAUUUUAAUUAAUAUGAGAAAAACAGUUUUUAAUUAAAUUAACGAAGAAAUAAAAUAACCAAAAGUGUUGUUGCAGAACAGUUUUGUCUUGUACGUGUACACGUCUUUUUCAGGGCUGUUACAUUAAACAUAAAAAAAAUUUCACCAAAAAAAUUUAAUUUUGUAAAAUUUACGUUCUCGAGAAUGGGAUUUCGCAUAUUUUUAUAUUUUAAGAAAUUAUUAAGGAAAGGAAGGAAACGCGCGACACCCACUUCGGCGUAGGUUUCUAAAAGAAAUUUGAAGCUAAUUUCUACAUUUCACCUUUUUUAGCAUUUUAGCAUUAAUUGUUUUGAAGGCGCUUUAGCUUUUAAAUAUCAAAUAUAAAUUGUUCUUUACGUUACAUCUUCGUCAAAUCUACGUUUCAUAUGCUCUCAGCAAUGUAAGAAUACAAGAGGUGUUUUAACAUAGUUUUACGGUUGUAACAAUCAGCAAUACUUAUUAUAUUUAAGAAUUGCUUUAAUUAGUCAAAUUAAUAACUAAUUUGUCCAGCAAGAACCAUAUGGAGGUUUAGAGCAUUCUUGUCAGGAAAAAAGGACGUAAGAAUGAGGUAAACAAUGAUUUUGAAAAUGAUGGGAAUAAAGGAAUUAUUGGUUUGUGAAAUGAAAAAAAAACAACACAAAAAUCAAUUUUUUUUCACUUGGUCUUAAAUGAAAUGCACUUGUUUUUAUAUGGCAUCUGCUACCAGUUGUAGCAAACAUUAAAAAUAAAUUAAAAACAAAACCAAUAAAAAAAGCUUUACAGCAAGCGACUUUCAUCGAUUGAAAUUAAAAGACAAAAUCAGUACAACGUGUCAAUAAAUUAUUUGAGUGUUUUAUUUUAUUUAUACUUUUUGUGUUUGAAAUAUCUCACUCAAACUAUCACUUUUCAACACCUCACUUAAAAAAUUAAAAUGCACUUCCGCUAGAGUUUGUAGCAAGAGAUUAAAAAUAAAUUAAUUGGGCAUGAAAAAAAAUGCACUAACCUUCAUGACAUGACGUCUUGUGCUUCCAAAGCAUCAUCUUCUUAAACGGACCUACUGAAAUAGAAUACAAUGAAAUUAGAAUAAUGUGCCCUUAAAUUAUGGUGCUAUUUUCUAACUUCUGUUACUAUGUUAUUGCUCUAUUACUGUAAAAAUUACAGCUGUUAUUUAAAUUUAUAUUCUGUAAACUCUGUUACCCUCUGUUAGUAACAUUAACAUUCUUUGUUAAAUAAAGCGCCAUAAACUAACAGUGACAGUGAGAGGUCGUGAAUUUUUACGAUGUUUCACCAAAUUAACAAGAAAUUGCAUUAAAAAUGUGAUAAGUGAAUAAAACAAGAAGCUUAGAAUCACGCAAACAAUUUGACCUUUGGUUUUUAAAGUGUUGGAAAACGAAGAAAGGGGAUAAGAUUGAUUUUAGAAAAAAAUCAACUGGUAUAAUUAUCCAUAAUGUUGCAAAGGUAAAUUUUUGGCAAUCCUAAAUGGGAAUGAACACAACUUAAAAUUCGUCAGGAACCAAAAUUUGUGUAUAUAAAAAAUUUAACACUGUGUACUCUUCAUUUUGGAAACAUUAUUUGUAUUAUUUAUUUCAAAUUAUAUUUUUUGUCAUUUAAUAGUUAUUUCGUUUCUUUCAAGUUCUGUUUCUCCCUUUUGUUUUGUUUUUGGCAGUUUUGUACUGCCCAGAAUAAAAUAAUUUAUCCAACACGAGAUCCUACAGAAAAUAUUUGAAAACAAAAAAUGUGUUUUUUUUUCAAUAGACAAGGAUAUGCUUUGCCUUGAUCUGCACUCGUCUUCUUCAUUCACUUUUUUUAACAUUUUAGUGAAACUUUUCGGGGUAUUAUAAAUUCGAAAUGAUAAGUUUAUGAAAACUUCUUGACAUUUUCGAAUAAAAUAUUUGAAUCAAAAAGUAAGUCAUACGUCAAAAUCGACUUCCAUUAUCUCUAAAAUUACAUUUUCGAACAAAUGGGAACGCUAUUACCCUUAUUUUAACAGAGACAGUUAGAGAAUCGCAAAUUAGACAGCUGUGUUAGGCGGUGUCAUGUUGCUAACACUCUAUAAACGUAACAGUAUAACAGAGAUAGUUAGAGAUAAAAUACCACCAUUAGUUGGAUAAAAUACAGAUUUUAUGUGAUUUCCUAAAAAUAAAUCACUGUAGAUUUACCCUUUAAUCCAGAUUGUUUCCUUCUAGUCUAUUCUAUUACACUAACACAUACACUACACUAACCGCGAUCACUAGCCACCGAAUUUCAAGUUUGGUCGCAAAGUUGCGCGGGUCGCUGUUGCUUAGUAGCAACGAAUGACAUUGCUAGAUUUGCGCCGUUGCUAUGUCAAUCAUGAUUUGCGCGGGUCGUAACUCAACUUGAAAUUAGGCUCUUACGGGCCAAUUUCAAGUUGUGAGAUACGACCGGUGCAAAUCACGGUCGCAGUGCAACUUUGCGCGGGUGAUUUGCGCGCUCUCUGCGACCACGAGAUGCGUCCGAUCUCAAGUCGAUAAAGUGCUAUGUCGCAGCGUAGCAGCAACUUUUGUCCGUGAUGCAAAAUUUUGCGCCGGUCACGUGACUUUCGAAAUGUCAAAUUUUAAUUUUGAGUUUUGCUUUUGUGUUCAAAGUGAAAAGAAAAAUCAAGGAACGAUUAAAAAUGCCGGCGGUCGAAAAACAGGAUGAAAAUACAAGUGCUGAUUAAUGAAAUUUAAAAGCGUUGAGGCAUUUUGUUUGAGGCAUCGUUGGGGCAUAAAAAAGACCUUCACUGACUUAAUUUCACCGAGAAAGGACCUACAACCAGGUCGAGUCACACGUAAAUUCAGUUACUCCAAGAACAAGGACAGUGGAUGGUUUGAAAAAGAAAUUUGAAGUCAUUGAACAAGUGCAAGGCUUUUGUUAAUAAUGCUGUUAAACUGGAAUUGCCGAAAAGCAGCCUCCAAGCUCAUUCUUUUACAGAAACUUGAUCAGAACUGAUUUAAGAAGUUCCAAAAAGUAAAAUUAGUAACUGCGAUCUACCUCAAACUUACCUCUACAUAUUUUAUAGUUAAAACGGUGACUUUAAUACUUAUAGUUGUGUAAAUUUUCAGUGUGGAUGUACAUAACCUUACCAUACUAAAAAAGCUGUAGUUCA